rnacentral:rRNA from 1 species
GACGAACGCUGGCGGCGUGCUUAACACAUGCAAGUCGAACGGAAAGGCCCUGCUUUUGUGGGGUGCUCGAGUGGCGAACGGGUGAGUAACACGUGAGUAACCUGCCCUUGACUUUGGGAUAACUUCAGGAAACUGGGGCUAAUACCGGAUAGGAGCUCCUGCUGCCUGGUGGGGGUUGGAAAGUUUCGGCGGUUGGGGAUGGACUCGCGGCUUAUCAGCUUGUUGGUGGGGUAGUGGCUUACCAAGGCUUUGACGGGUAGCCGGCCUGAGAGGGUGACCGGCCACAUUGGGACUGAGAGACGGCCCAGACUCCUACGGGAGGCAGCAGUGGGGAAUAUUGCACAAUGGGCGGAAGCCUGAUGCAGCAACGCCGCGUGCGGGAUGACGGCCUUCGGGUGGUAAACCGCUUUCGCCUGUGACGAAGCGUGAGUGACGGUAAUGGGUAAAGAAGCACCGGCUAACUACGUG